UACAGAGGUCUCAACCGUUGUUCGGAUUCAUUGGGCGUAAAGGGUGCGUAGGCGGUCGCGUAAGUCAGGUGUGAAAUCCCGGGGCUCAACCCCGGAACUGCAUUUGAUACUGCGUGGCUCGGGUACUGGAGAGGAGACUGGAAUUUACGGUGUAGCAGUGAAGUGCGUAGAUAUCGUAAGGAAGACCAGUGGCGAAGGCGAGUCUCUGGACAGUUACCGACGCUGAGGCACGAAGGUCAGGGGAGCAAACGGG
rnacentral:rRNA from 1 species